GGCCCAGUGAGGCUGAAACGGCCCCAGUGAGGUUGAAUCGGCCCCAGUGAGGUUGAGACAGCCCCUGUGAGGCUGAGAUUACCCCUGUGAGACUGAGAAGGCCCCUGGGAAGCU